CCCCUCACAGGCCCGAUGGAGUUGCUGAGGGCAUAGCGCAAGAUCCUCUCCUCCUUGUUGUACAGGACAAACACGCUGUCCACAGAGAGCUGCUGGGUGCUGGGCAGGGCUGGCCUGGCGUCAUCGUGGGCACACUCCUGGAAGGUGAUGGUCUGACGCCACUGAUCCCAGGAGACUGCCCCAGGAACUCAAGGUCAUCACAGUGGGUGGG
rnacentral:lncRNA from 1 species